rnacentral:lncRNA from 1 species
GUCGCGGCGUCGCAGUGUCUGGCAGCAGCGGUGCAGCUCCGCGCAGGGUUUGUAACACGGCCUCCUCCCCACCAGGUCCUCCCACACUGGCCUCUCCCCGGCCUUCCAGAGAGCCCGAAAGUCCGGAUUCCCUGCAGCUCCGAGCCUGGCCCGGUCACAGGGACGGGGCCCAGCGUCACACUACACGGGCUGGUGUGGAAGUGCGCAGGCACAAGCGCUCUGCGCGCCUCCCUUAGCAACCAGGGCGGGGAGUUGAGAAUCGCAGGUUGGCCGCAGGGAAAAGGACGCGCAAACAGUGAAGCCAGUCCCGCCCGGGUGAGCCGCGGGGGCCUCUGGGAAGCGUCGCCCCUGGUGUAACGGACCGAGACUUGUGGCGCUCUCAGCCACCGACAGCGCCGGCCUCAGUGCCGCCUCUGUCCCAGCCCGCGCCGGCUCUGCCACUUUGGCAGCGUUAAGUGUGGAAUCGGGGCCUGUGUCCGCGGGCUUGGUGUAUGAACCUGCGUGCAAACGUGCAUGACAGUGGGAUCUUGAAUGAAUGAAAAACUGUGGAUACAAG